GACAGAGGCCUCAAGCGUUAGGCGGAAUCACUGGGCUUAAAGCGUGUGUAGGCGGAUCGUUAAGUGCCUUGUGAAAUCCCACGGCUUAACUGUGGAACGGCUGGGCAUACUGGCGGUCUUGAGCCAUCUAGGGGCGACUGGAACAAACGGUGGAGCGGUGAAAUGCGUAGAUAUCGUUUGGAACGCCAAUGGUGAAAACAGGUCGCUGGGGAUGAGCUGACGCGUGAGACACGAAAGCCAGGGGAGCAAACGGG
rnacentral:rRNA from 1 species